GUGCUCACUUUGGCAGCACAUAUACUAAAAUUGGAACUAUACAGAGAUAGUUAGCAUGGUCCCUGAGCCAGGGUGAUAUGCAAAUUUACAAAGCAUUCCAUUAAAAA
ensembl:snRNA U6 U6 spliceosomal RNA